rnacentral:rRNA from 1 species
GUGUCAGCCGCCGCGGUAAUACAGAGGGUGCAAGCGUUAAUCGGAAUCACUGGGCGUAAAGCGUGCGUAGGUGGUCAUGCAAGUCGGAUGUGAAAUCCCCGGGCUUAACCUGGGAACUGCAUUCGAUACUACAUGGCUAGAGUAUGGUAGAGGGAAGUGGAAUUUCCGGUGUAGCGGUGAAAUGCGUAGAUAUCGGAAGGAACACCAAUGGCGAAGGCAGCUUCCUGGACCAAUACUGACACUGAGGCACGAAAGCGUGGGUAGCAAACAGGAUUAGAUACCCUGGUAGUCCACGCCCUAAACGAUGAGAACUAGCCGUUGGGAGAUUUAAUUCUCCUAGUGGCGCAGCUAACGCGUUAAGUUCUCCGCCUGGGGAGUACGGCCGCAAGGUUAAA